UACGAAGGUGGCAAGCGUUGUUCGGAUUUACUGGGCGUACAGGGAGCGUAGGCGGUUGGAUAAGCCCUCCGUGAAAUCUCCAGGCUUAACCUGGAAAGUGCAGAGGGGACUGUUCAGCUAGAGGAUGGGAGAGGAGCGCGGAAUUCCCGGUGUAGCGGUGAAAUGCGUAGAUAUCUGGAGGAACACCGGUGGCGAAGGCGGCAUCCUGGACCGACACUGACGCUGAGGAGCGAAAGCCAGGGGAGCAAACGGG
rnacentral:rRNA from 1 species